GUCAAAACUUUUUCUUCAUCUGGCAAUGGGGCAGCAGCACAGCUAAUUGGUAUACCUCGCUCUCGCACUCGCACUCUCUCUCUGUCUCUCUCCGUGUGUUGU